UACGUAGGGGGCAAGCGUUAUCCGGAUUUACUGGGUAUAAAGGGAGCGUAGGUGGUGUGGUAAGUCAGAUGUGAAAGCCCGGGGCUCAACUCCGGGAUUGCAUUUGAAACUAUCAUGCUAGAGUGCAGGAGAGGUAAGUGGAAUUCCUAGUGUAGCGGUGAAAUGCGUAGAUAUUAGGAGGAACACCAGUGGCGAAGGCGUCUUACUGGACUGUAACUGACACUGAGGCUCGAAAGCGUGGGUAGCAAACAGG
rnacentral:rRNA from 1 species